rnacentral:rRNA from 1 species
UACGUAGGGCGCAAGCGUUGUCCGGAAUUAUUGGGCGUAAAGAGCUCGUAGGCGGCUUGUCGCGUCGGAUGUGAAAGCCCGGGGCUUAACCCCGGGUCUGCAUUCGAUACGGGCAGGCUAGAGUUCGGUAGGGGAGAUCGGAAUUCCUGGUGUAGCGGUGAAAUGACGCAGAUAUCAGGAGGAACACCGGUGGCGAAGGCGGUCUCUGGGCCGAUACUGACGCUGAGGAGCGAAAGCGUGGGGAGCGAACAGG